GACGAACGCUGGUGGCGUGCUUAACACAUGCAAGUCGAGCGAGGCCCCUCCUUCGGGAGGGUGUCCUAGCGGCGAACGGGUGAGUAACACGUGGGCAACCUGCCCUCAGCUCUGGGAUAACUCCGGGAAACCGGGGCUAAUACCGGAUACGACCUCCACGGGCAUCUGCGGAGGUGGAAAGUUUUUCGGCUGAGGAUGGGCCCGCGGCCUAUCAGCUAGUUGGUGGGGUAGUGGCCCACCAAGGCGACGACGGGUAGCCGGCCUGAGAGGGCGACCGGCCACACUGGGACUGAGACACGGCCCAGACUCCUACGGGAGGCAGCAGUGGGGAAUAUUGCGCAAUGGGCGAAAGCCUGACGCAGCGACGCCGCGUGAGGGACGAAGGCCUUCGGGUUGUAAACCUCUUUCAGCAGGGACGAAGCGAAAGUGACGGUACCUGCAGAAGAAGCACCGGCCAACUACGUG
rnacentral:rRNA from 1 species